rnacentral:tRNA from 1 species
GGGUCGUUAGCUCAGUAGGUAGAGCAGUUGGCUUUUAACCAAUUGGUCGAAGGUUCGAAUCCUUCACGACCCACCA